ACUAGAGUAGCACUCGCAUAUCAAUAAGCGGAGGAAAAGAAACUAACAAGGAUUCCCCUAGUAACGGCGAGUGGAGCGGGAAGAGCUCAAAUUUGAAAUCUUAAAGGGUUUCCCUUUACGAAUUGUAGUUUAAAGAAGUGUUUUCUGUUGAGGUUUUGGUAAAAGUUCUUUGGAAUAGGACAUCAUAGAGGGUGAGAAUCCCGUAUUUGACCUUUACUUUCAACUUUGUGAUACACUUUCAAAGAGUCGGAUUGUUUGGGAAUGCAGUCCAAAAUGGGUGGUAAAUUUCAUCUAAAGCUAAAUAUUGGCGAGAGACCGAUAGCGAACAAGAACCGUGAGGGAAAGAUGAAAAGAACUUUGAAAAGAGAGUUAAACAGUACGUGAAAUUGUCAAAAGGGAAGCGUUUGACACCAGUGUUGUUUUUCUGAAAAUCAAUUAAAGAACUGUUUAUGCUAAGUUGUUUAGACUUUAUCAGCUAACUGUUUAGUUUUGAGCUUUUCUUUAAUGCACUUUUCAGUUAACAAGUCAACAUCAAUUUCUUUUGCUGUAAAAAAGCUUGAGGAAGGUGGCUUGAGAUUCGUCUUAAGUGUUUAUAGCCUCUUGCCUAUGCAGUCGGAGAGAUUGAGGUCUGCAGCGUAGAUCCUUCGGGGCUAAAUGCAUUUGUGCUAAGUUAUAGCAUUUUAUAGACAACUUGUUGACUAUGAUUUGUCUUGUAGCUUACUCGCUUAUGUUAUUUUACCUACGCUUAGGAUGUUGAGUCAUCACACAUCUCU
rnacentral:rRNA from 1 species